GUGCAGAAGUAUAUUAAGGAAGAUGUGGAAAUUCCAGCAAAGGAUUCAACAAGCUCAGAUAUUAAUGCAAACACCAGAAUUCCUACUUAACACUAAUCUUGGAUGAAACCUCCUUGCCAGCUUUGUUAUGUUUGAUGGGAAAUUCCACAGUGGAAUCCAAGUAUUUUUGCCUCGCAACUGCAAAUGUGGAAAUCAGCAAGUUUUUGAAAUACUCCAAGUCUGAUGCUUGUAUCAUAAGUGGAACACAUCUGAGGAAAAAUUGACUUCAAUGUGGGUAACGGAUUUCCAACAUUUCCAUGAAACAGCAUGUAAUAUAUGAGCGAUGUCAACACGAAGAUGUGUAUCAAAAUAUGUUGUUUUGCUUUUAAUGUUACAAAACACUCCUGAGUAUAUUUUUUCAGGGAUGUCUCAUUGAAUUCCCUGCACAUUGCAUAGAGAAGUGCUUUAGAGAAAUCACAGACAACUUUGGUUUUGGAGUACCUGCA